AUUGGGCGUAAAGCGAGCGCAGGCGGUUAGAUAAGUCUGAAGUUAAAGGCUGUGGCUUAACCAUAGUACGCUUUGGAAACUGUUUAACUUGAGUGCAAGAGGGGAGAGUGGAAUUCCAUGUGUAGCGGUGAAAUGCGUAGAUAUAUGGAGGAACACCGGUGGCGAAAGCGGCUCUCUGGCUUGUAACUGACGCUGAGGCUCGAAAGCGUGGGGAGCAAACAGGAUUAGAUACUCUGGUAGUCCACGCCGUAAACGAUGAGUGCUAGGUGUUAGACCCUUUCCGGGGUUUAGUGCCGCAGCUAACGCAUUAAGCACUCCGCCUGGGGAGUACGACCGCAAGGUUGAAACUCAAAGGAAUUGACGGGGGCCCGCACAAGCGGUGGAGCAUGUGGUUUAAUUCGAAGCAACGCGAAGAACCUUACCAGGUCUUGACAUCCCUCUGACCGCUCUAGAGAUAGAGUUUUCCUUCGGGACAGAGGUGACAGGUGGUGCAUGGUUGUCGUCAGCUCGUGUCGUGA
rnacentral:rRNA from 1 species